GACGAACGCUGGCGGCGUGCCUAAUACAUGCAAGUAGAACGCUGACUACUUUAGCUUGCUAGAGUAGAAGGAGUUGCGAACGGGUGAGUAACGCGUAGGUAACCUGCCUACUAGCGGGGGAUAACUAUUGGAAACGAUAGCUAAUACCGCAUAACAGUGUUUAACACAUGUUAGAUGCUUGAAAGAUGCAAUUGCAUCACUAGUAGAUGGACCUGCGUUGGAUUAGGUAGUUGGUGAGGUAAAGGCUCACCAAGCCGACGAUCUUUAGCUGGUCUGAGAGGGUGAUCGGCCACACUGGGACUGAGACACGGCUCAG
rnacentral:rRNA from 1 species